rnacentral:rRNA from 1 species
ACUCAAAUGAAUUGACGGGGACCCGCACAAGCAGCGGAGCGUGUGGCUUAAUACGAUGCUACGCGUAGAACCUUACCAGGGCUUGACAUCCGGCUAAACUCUGUGAAAGCAGAGGUGUUCUUUUAGAACGAGCCGAGACAGGUGUUGCAUGGCUGUCGUCAGCUCGUGCCGCGAGGUGUAGAGUUAAGUCUCAUAACGAGCGCAACCCCUCUUGCAUGUUGUAUUUUUCAUGCGAUACUGCCAGGGAUAACCUGGAGGAAGGCGGGGAUGACGUCAAGUCAGUACGGCCCUUAUGCCCUGGGCUGCACACACGCUACAAUGGCCAGUACAAUGGGUUUAUUGCUAGACCGCGAGGUGGAGCUAAUCCCACCAAAGCUGGCCCCAGUUCGGAUUGGAGGCUGCAACUCGCCUCCAUGAAGUUGGAGUUGCUAGUAAACGCCGGUCAGCACACGGCGUUGAAUAUGUUCCCGGGUCUUGCACACACCGCCCGU